rnacentral:sRNA from 1 species
CUAGUGAGCGUCUUCCUCCUCGCAGUGCUUGGUGUACUUGGCCGGGUCCAGCAGGGCGUCCAGCUCCGACGGGCUGCUCGGCUUCACCUUGAUCAUCCACCCGUCCUCGUACGGGCUUGAGUUAAUCUGUCACCACCAUUGGCAGUAGCAUUAGGGUUUGAAAAUUGUCUCGCAAAAAAGAAUUUGUAAUUCUAGUUUGUGGAGAUACAUACCAGGCCGGGUGUCUCAGAGAGCUUGUCGUUAACCUCGACGACCUCACCGGAGAUGGGGGAGUUGAUGUCGCUGGUGGCCUUCACACUCUCCACGUUGCCGAAUGCACCUCCCUGGCUCACCUUCGCCCCCGCCUCCGGCAGCUCCACGAACACCACCUCUCCCAGAUGGCCCUGCGAGUA